rnacentral:tRNA from 1 species
GGGAGUCUAGCUCAAAUGGUAGAGCGCUUGC